AAAACAAAAUAGAUCGAGUUCAUACUGGCUUUUCCAGGCUCUGUCACUUCAUCAUAUAUCGUCAUUAUUGCCUUUCACUUGCACGACCGAAUGAUGUGAACAAUAAUAAGAGUGCUCGUGCAUUGGACUAAGCUGGAAUCUGCAAGAAAACACAAAGGAGAAGACAAAGUAAUAUGGCUCUUUAACACAUAAACAGAUAUGCAUGCAAGAGCCACUAAACAUUGUAACCAUGGUCUUCUACCUUGACCCAAAGAAAAAUAAAACUAUUUACACGGGAAAGCUCCCAACAAGCAAAAGAAGAACAAGAAAAUCUUUUUGGGUUUUCUCAAACUAGACAAACACAUGAAAAGAAAGCAAAAAGAAAACAAGAGAACGAAAAUAAACUAGCAUGGAUGAUACAGUUGCAAAGUGUGAACACCGACUAACAAAUUGAAAGUGUAAGUAAGAAUAUAAAGUCGGUGGGAAACACGUACUCCCCCAAGCUUAGGCUUUUGGCCUAAGUUGGUCUACUCCCAAGGUGGGAAGUAAUCGUCUCUGGGGUACUCCGGAGUGGACUGAGGAUGCCACUGUUGUGUGAGCUCCUGUGGCUCCCACUGAUAUACUGGCGUCUGGUACUCGACUGGUAGCUCGGGCACGGGCGCCUGUGGUUGGGCUAUGCCCCAAUAUGCAUAGAUGUCCGAGGGCAUAAUGAUGUACCUGCCUGUAUGAAGAUUGAACAAAGAAGGAGCAGGCAAAGUAAUAGUCUCACGAGUACCCUGACUAAAUACCAGGUUAUAAAUCAUCCUUAUACUAUUAUCUCUAUCAAGAAAGUCAUGGCGAACCAUGCUAUCAUAAUCUAGAUAUCUCCUCGUCCAGUCUAAUAGGUAUCUCAAAAUGUCUAGCAAGACGAGUAGCAUAGAUACCUCCAUAGAUACCUCAACCGUUGAGCUACUAUAGCGCCCAAGCUAUAAGUUUUAUCGUUAUAAAGGGCUUUGCGCAAAACUGCAAGAUCUGGAGAGCUAAGGGCUCCAGCUUUCCCACGGCCAAUCAAACAUUUUCCCACAAAUAAUGAGAAGUACCGAAGCAAGGGAAAAUGAAUGCUAGCAGCUCUAGCGCAAGACACUCCUCUCUCCUCUCCUACAGCAAUAGUAUCUAUGAAAGCCUCCAAGUCCCGUGGACGAGGUUCAUGAAUAUCCUCAACAUAAGGUAAUUUGCAAACAUUGCAAAAAUCCUGAAGUGACAUGCAUUGGGGGAUAUCAUAUAACAUGAACUCAACCGUAGGAGGAUUCUUCCUCGAAUAAAAAUUGAAGCUUUGAACAGAAACAUUAGUGAGGAGGAGGUAUUGCUGACACUUAUCUUCAACGAAGGCGGUAAGGCCUGUGUUCUCCACCAAGUAAUAAAAAUCUUCAUAAAGUCCGGCGGCGCGUAAGAAUACAUCGCUUGGCCACUUGCACGCUCGAACUUUUGCAACUCGAGGGACUGGAUACUUGGGUUUCUUCUUCUCAUCAUCCUUGGGGUCACGGCUUGAAGAGCCUCUGAAGAACCUCCUCAUCUUUUCCUUUUCUUUCUCUGAAAAUUUCUGAAAAUUUUUAGUGAUUCUAAGGAAAAGUGAACAAGGCUCAACAAAACUCGUAGUAAUUACUCCUUCAAGUGCCUAGAGGUCAUAUCAUGCGUCAAAACUACUUGGGACCAGCUAAAAUUAGCAUGCAAAGCUCAAGAACAGGGUCACCAAGGCAGCAAAAAUACGCGAAGGAUAAAGAACUAGAGCAAAAACUAAUUGGACCAAUGGAGGAGUCACUUACCAAGGAGCAAUUUCCCCAAAAUAGUUCGGAGAAUGAUGCUUUGAGCAAGGAGAUCGAAAAUCGCAGCAAGAAGAGCAAGAACACGGGUUUGAGCUGCGAAAUGAUUUUUUAUGUAGGUAGGAGAAGCAGAUGGGAGCUAGAAUGAGUGGAGGAGGUACACAUGGGCCCACAAGCCAGGUAGGUGCGGCCAGGGGGUGCCCACGCCUCCAGGGCUUGUAGCGCGCUGGUGUGGCCCCCGGACUAGCUCUCAGUCCCAGUAUUUUUCAAAAAUUCCAGAAAAAAUCAUAUUUGAUUUUGAGGACCAUCGGAGAACUUUUAUUUUCGGGAUACUUUUCUCCGGGACGCUAAAACAGAAAAUAGGGAAAACUAAACUAAAUCUAUCAUUUUUCUUCUAAGCAAUGGAAGGUGGAAACUUGGAACAGAGGUUUGUGACUCCUCGAUUCAUCCAUCGCAUGGUCAUCGAAGGAAAUCCGUCAACGAGGUUGAUCAAGUAUCUUUGACAAAACUUUUUCGAAUCGCAAAAGGAAAUGGAGAAUUUUUGAAUAGCCACUAGGUUACCUCAAUGGGGAUGUGAAUCUCCCCAACAAGCAAAGCAUACUUCAUCUUAACAGUAGGUAUAGGGCAUUCAAAGCUCCCAAUAAGAAUUGAUGAAGUUUUUUUGAUAGCAUUGAUGCAAUGUACUUGAUAUUGUUUCUUCGGAAAGUGCACCGUAUGCUCAUUACCGUUGACAUGGAAAGUGACAUUUCCUUUGUUGCAAUCUAUAACAGCCCCUGCAGUGUUUAAAAAGGGUUUUCCAAGAAUGACCGCCAUGGCAUCAUCCUUGGGAAUAUCCAGAAUAACAAAGUCCGUUAAAAUAGUAACGUUAGCAACCACAACAGGCACAUCCUCGCAAAUGCCGAUAGGGAAAGCAGUUGAUUUAUCGGCCAUUUGCAGAGAGAUUUUAGUGGGUGUCAACUUAUCCAAUUCAAGCCUACGAUAAAGAGAGAGAUGCAUAACACUAACACCGGCUCCAAGGUCGCAUAAAGCAGUUCUAACGUAGUUUCCUUUAAUGGAGCAAGGUAUAGUGGGUACUCCGGGAUCACCUAGUUUCUUAGGAUUCCACCUUUAAAAGUGUAAUUAGCGAGCAUGGUGGAAAUCUCAACCUCAGGUAUCCUCCUCUUGUUAGUAACAAUAUCCUUCAUGUACUUGGCAUACGGAGACAUUUUGAGCAUAUCAGUCAACCGCAUCUGCAGAAAGAUGGGUCUAAUCAUUUCAACAAAGCGCUCAAAAUCCUCAUCAUCCUUUUUCUUGGAUGGUUUAGGAGGAAAGGGCAUAGGUUUCUGAACCCAUGGCUCCCUUUCUUUACCAUGCUUCCUAGUAGUGAAGUCAUUCUUAUCGUAUCUCUUAUUCUUAGGUUGUGGGUUAUCAAGAUCAACUGUAGGUUCAAUCUCCACAUCCUUAUCAUCACUAGGUUGAGCAUCAACAUGAGCAUCGUUAUCUAUAUUGUCACCACGUUCAUGUUCAUCACCAGAUUGUGUUUCAGCAUCAGACGCAGAAACAUCAUUUGGAUUCUCAGGUGUGACAGCAACCGGUGAACUAGCAUGUAAGUUCCUAUCAUCCCUCUUCUUCUUACUAGGAUGACUAGGUGUAUGAGCAUUGACUCCUUGAGAAUCUUGCUCAAUUCUCAAUUCAUUGAGCAAGUCAUUCUGAGCCUUAAGUACUUGUUCUACCUAAGUAGUAACCAUAGAGGCAUGUUUUUACUUAGAAGCUUAAGAUCAUUGACAUUUUUGUCCACACAAGCACUUAAAUGGCUAAGCAUACGAGCAAUCUGUUCCAAUUGUCUGCUAACAUAAUCAUUAAAACUUUGUUGUUUGGCAACAAAGUUAUCAAACUCAUCAAAGCAUAGACUAGCAGGUUUAUCAAAAGUAAUAUCACUCACAUUGAAUCUAUGCAGAGAAUUUACUUCUACUACCUGUAUCGGGUUAUCGAAACCAUGGAUCUCUUCGAUAGGUGGUAGAUUUUUGACAUCUUCAGAUUUAGUGCCUUUCUCUUUCAUAGAUUUCUUGGCUUCUUGCAUAUCUUCAGGACUGAGGAAUAGGAUACCUCUUUUCUUUGGAGUUGGCUUAGGAGGUGGUUCAGGAAUAGUCCAGGCAUUAUCAUUGAUCAAGAUGUUAUUCAGCAGAAUCUUAGCUUGUUCUAUAGUUCGUUCCCUAAAAACACAACCGGCGCAACUAUCUAGGUGGUCUCUGGAAGCAUCAGUAAGUCCAUUAUAGAAGAUAUCAAGUAUUUCAUUCUUCUCAAGAGGGUGAUCAGGCAAAGCAUUCAGCAGCUGGACAAGCCUCCCACAAGCUUGUGGGAGACUCUCUUCUUCAAUUUGAGCAAAGUUGUAUAUUUCCUGCAAGGCAGCUUGCUUCUUAUGGGCAGGGAAAUAUUUCUCACAGAAGUAGUAGACCAUAUCCUAGGGACUAUGCACACAUCCAGGAGCAAGAGAAGUGAACCAGGCUUUAGCAUCAUCCUUUAGCGAGAAAGGAAACAACUUAAGGAUAUAGUAGUGGCGGAUCUUUUCCUCACUAGUGAAAAGGGUGCCUAUAUCGUUCAAUUUGGUAAGAUGGGCUACAACCGUUUCAGACUCAUAACCGUGAAAAGGAUCAGAUUCGACCAGAGGGAUUAACUCAGGAUCGAUAGAGAAUUCAUAAUCCUUAUCAGUGACAAAGAUAGGCGAAGUAGCAAACUUCGGGUCGUAUUUCAUCCUAGCGUUCAGAGAUUUUUCUUUCCACUUGAGCAGUAAUUUCUCAACAUCAUAGCUAUCCUUACAUGCAAGAAAGUCCUCAGCUAUCUCUCCAUCCAUAACAUAACCCUCACGUAUAUCAGGCAAUUCAUAUCUAGGAGAGCUAGGUCUAACAGGAGUAAAAUCAGGUUUUAUCUCAAUAGUAUUAGCAGUUUCAGAAGCAUCAUAAGCAUCAGCAGUAACUCUAGCAAUGUGAGCAUCAAGGAAUGCACCUAGUGGCAUAUCAGGCAAAGCAUUAUCAUAAGCAUCAUCAGGCAAGGCAGUAUCACUAGCAUCAUGGGGCAAAGCAGAAGUAGCAUCAUCAAGCACAGGCGAGAUAUCAAGAUUUCUAGCAGGAGGUGGUGUCGCAAACUUACUCAUAACUAAAGGUGAAUCAAGUGCAGAGCUAGAUGGCAGUUCCUUACCUGUCCUGGUAGUUUAGGGCAAGACUUUGGUUCUUGGAUCUUUCAGAUUCUUCAUAGUGAUCAGCAGAUAUAAAUCCCAAGUGACUCAGAGAAUAUAGCUAUGCCUCCCCGGCAACGGCGCCAGAAAAAGGCCUGUUGACGGGCAACUAUUCCUAGCUUGAUGCCUGCAACGACGCCAAAAAUAGGUCUUGAUAACCCACCAGUGUAUGUGUGACAGCCCGAGACCGACGCCCAGAAGAUUCCCCUUUAUUUUCGUUUCCGUCGUGCGGCUAUUUUAUUUUGGUGGUUGCAUCAUCAUUUAGUUUGCAUCAUCGCAUCAUGCAUGGCAUCUUGUCAUCGGUGUUUUGUCGGUGUUGCUUGUUGCUCCGUGUUGUUAGGCGUUAGUGCUUCGUGAGUGGCGUAGUUUUGUUGGAGUGAUGAGAGAGGGAGCGUGAGAGCCACCCCUAAACCCCGUUGCACCGCCGACCUAAACCUACUCCCCUUCUCUCCUCUCUCAUUUCGUUUUUGUGGUUUUGCUAAAGUCUUCGUUUAAACCCCUAUUUAAAAGGGUGCGUCUUCUUCUUUUCAAAAAAUCCUUUUCUUAAAUGUGGGGGCAACCCUUAGGUUUUUAUUUUAUUUCCCCGUUUGCUUUAUAUUAAAAACCCUCCCAUUUUAUUUUCUCUUUUAAAAGGCUUUUAUUUAUUCUUUAAAUAAAGGGGUUUUAUUUAAUUCUUUUAAAAAGGGGUUAUUUUUAUCUUCUUGUUAAAAGAGUUUUAAUUUAAUUCUUCAAAAGGGUUGUGAUUUUAAUUCUUUUAAAAAGGGUUUUAUUUUUAUUCUUUAAAAAAAGGUUUCAUUUUUAUUUCUUUAAAAAUGCCCAAUCUAUUUAUAGUUGGGGUUUGUUUUAAAAGGGUAAAAGGCAUUUAUUUUAGUUUAUUUUAUUUUGUUAAAAAAACCUUUCUUUAUUUACAGAUUUCUGUUUUUAAGGUUUUAAAAAAAACAUAUGGUCUCGAUCCCCUUCUUCCUCCCCCCUCGCGCAACCUCUCCAGGGCCCGACCUCCUCCUCCUCGCAUCUCGCCCGCGCCGCCAAGUUGCCGCCCCUGCUCGUCGGCCUCCCCUGGUCCUCCUUGCCAAGCCGUCUCUCGCGCGCCGCCGUCCACCUGCAGGCCGAGCCGCCUCUCUGCUCCCCGUCCCCUGCGCCCGCGCCGCCGCCGGUGCCCGACCUGCGCGUCGCCCUGCCGUGCCCGCCGCCAGGGCCUCCCCUCCGUCGCGCAACUCGUCGUGGACGCCGCCUCCAUGGCCUCGGACCUUGCCCCCGCGCGCCAUGGCCGUCGCCCCUGCCUCCUGCCUCCGCGUCAGCAGCCCCGCGACUCCCGUCGUCGCGCCGCCUCGCUGGGCGUCCGUCGCCACGCCCGCCUCGCCGCCUCCCCGAGUACCUCGCCAUGCGCUGCCAGCAGCUCGCCCUGGCCUCUCUGCUCGCCGUGGUCGCCGCCCGUGCAGCGCCCCUCGCCCUCGCCCCGACCUCCUCCGCCUCGCUGUGGUUCCCAUGCCGAAUCAUUGCUGCCAUGCGGUUGCCUGCUGGCCCCUGUACGUUGCGUUGCUAAGCUGCUGCCGUUUUCUUUUGCCUUGCCGCCGUGCUGCUGGAUGAUGUACCCUGCUGCUGACGUUGUUACCUACUGCUGAUGCUGCCGCCUGCUGCUGCUGUUGUUGUAGCGCCUUGCUGCUGCUUGCCGUAGCCAAGCUGCUACCGCUGUAGCUGUUGCUUGCUGCUUGCGUUUUGCUGCUGCUGGUAGGUGCUCGUACAUGUUGUUGCUAGUCGGCUACUACUUGCUGUAGCUGUUGUCGAGCUGUUGCCUGCUUGAGUCGUGCCUUGCCUGCCGUUGCUGCUUGCCGUCGAUGCUUCUAGGUUGUUGCCGUUGUUGCCUGAUAGUGGCUCUUCCUAGACGUUGUAGCUUGCCGCUAUGCUGUCGUGGCGUGCUAUGCUGCUAUUCCCCCCCCCCCCCCGUCGCUGCUAGUUGUUAGUUGCUGCUUAGAUGCUGUUGCUAGCCGUAGUGCUAGUUACUGUAGCUUGCUGCUAGGUAGCUAGCUGCAGCUAGAUAGUGCUAGCUAGCCUUGCCGCCGCCUUGCUGCUUGCGUCGCGUUGCGGUUUGUCCGCUUACGCUAGCUGUGUUGCUGCCGCUUGCGUCGCCGCGCGGACCAUCCCCGCCUACCGUGAGUCAUCGACGAGAUCGGCGAGUACAACGACGACCUCGACGAACCCCGAGCAUCGACGGAGACGUGAUCGACUACCGACGCCGAAGACCUGAGAACCACGACGCCGAGCGAACGACUACCGUUGACGAGACCGUGUACCACUACUUCAACUACCGGCGCGUGUACGACUACUUCCACGACGACCACGACUUCCACGACGAUCGUUGGUCCGCUACGACCCGAUCCGCUCCGUUAUGCACGCUUCAAAGGUAUACCGAGGGGACAUGUCAUGUACCGUGUGCUAGUGAUGAACAAAUGUAUGUGUUGAACAAGUUGAAUGAAUGUAUGCACCGUUUGCUUGCCCGUGCACGUUGUCUUCUUUUCGUCGUGCCCUCGACACAUGGGAACCCGGUAGUCGGGAUCACCCCACCUUUAUUUACCGUUCCCGCACGCGCUCCCUAUUCGUUGUCACCGAUACCCCGUUGAGUUAUCGGGACAGGAAAGUUGCUGUGGCAUCGCUUCCGAUUUGCCGCUAUUGUUUCCUCUCGCUCGCCGUGGUGACACCUUGCUUCUUUCCCUUCUUGCCGUGGUGUGAUGUCUCGCAUGCAUGAUGCAUUCAUGGCAUAUAUUAAUGUGUUGCAUGCCUCUUGUGACGUAGCUCCGCUCUUUGUUACGCGAGUUAAACUGACUAGGAUGCCAUGUAGGACCGUCGCUUCACCCUUGCCAUGUUAACUACAACUUAAUAUUGUCGUGUAAAUAACCGGGAGUGAACUAAAUAAUUAAUCGAGGAGUUUCGUUGAUAUGCAACCCGUUGCAUAUCGAGCUUCACUUAAUGUGUAGAGUUUGCGUGAGAUGAAUUGCCAUGCCAUCCCUAGCAUCUUUGAACUGACCAUGCAUCAUAUUAGGGUGUGCAUCAUGUCUUGCAUUUGCCGUGGUGAAUAUCUGUGUUGAUGUUUGUUUCCGGUUUCCUCCGUCUCGAUAGAGUUCCGCAAGCGUGUCGGAUGUGAGGACCGUUCGACUACGUUGGUUCGUCUGCUUCACGGAGGCAUUCUUCUUCCAAGCGGGAUCUCAGGCAAGAUGAUCAUUUUCCCAGAUACCAUUACUAUCAUUGCCAUGCUAGUUUUACCGCUUCUAUCGAUUAUGUCUUGUUGCCUACCACAUGUUAAAUAUCAGCCUCUCAACAAUGCCAUGAAACCCUCAACCUGUUCAACCUAGCAAACCACUGAUUGGUUAUGUUACCGCUUGCUUAACCCUGUUGAUAGCGUUGCUAGUUGCAGGUGCAGAUGCUUCCAUGUGAAAACAUGGGUUCUUUGUUAUAUCACCAUAUUAAAUGCUAUUUAAUUUAAUGCACCUAUAUACUUUGUAAAAGGUGGAAGGCUCGACCUUUCUAGCCUGGUGUUUUGUUCCACCCUUGCCCCCUUAGUUUUCGGCUACCGGUGUUAUGUUCCAUAAAUGAGCGCUCCUAACACGAUCAGGGUUGUUAGGGGACCCCCUUGAUAAUUCGUUUUAGAUUAAAGCUGGUCUGGCAAGGCCCAACUUUGGUACUACAUUUGCCUAAUAACUAAUGAACUGCAUAGGGUGUAAUUAACCCGAGGAAAUUUAAUUAACCCCCGGGCCAGUGCUCCUCAUGACUGUUGGUCCAAAAACUAGAGCCGUUUGCGGGGCCAACCCGGGGCAACUCGGGAGAUUUCUAUCAGGCCACCGUACACUGUGCUUAUCCGUCGUGUCCUGAGAACGAGAUACGCGGCUCCUAUCGGGAUCGUCGACACGCAGGGCGGCCUUGCUGGAUUAGUUUUACCUUUGACGGAAUAUCUUGUGCAUCGGGAUUCCGGUGAUGCUUUGGGUAAUCUCACAGUUGAGGUUUUCCACUAGGGAAUCCGACGAGAUCGCGAGCUUCGUGAUUGAGGAUUUCUAUGCGGCUUGUGGUAAUUUGUGAUGGACUAGUUGGAGCGUCCCUGUAGGGUUAAAUAAUUUCGGAAAGCCGUGCCCGCGGUUAUGUGGCAACGUGGAUACUUUGUUUAACACUGGUUCUAGAUAACUUGAAAUUAACUUAAUUAAAACAUGCCAACUGUGUGCGUAACCGUGACUGUCUCUUCCGUGAGUUCUUUCUCCGAUCGAGAACACGGUGGGGUUAUGUCUGACGUAGCUAGGUGUUCAGGAUCAUUAAUUUGAUCAUCUGUAGUUCACGUCCGCUAUGCGUAGAUCUUCCCCCUCUUACUUCUUGUACUCGUAAGUUAGCCACCAAAUAUAUGCUUAGCCGCUGCUGCAACCUCACCACUUAACCAUGCCUCACCCAUUAAGCUUUGCUAGUCUUGAUACCUUUGGAAAUGAGAUUGCUGAGUCCCCUGUGGCUCACAGAUUACUACAACACCAGUUGUAGGUACAGGUAAAGGUUACUUGACGCGAGCGCGUUGAUUGUUCAUUUGAAGUUGCUUCUUCUUCUUCUUCUUCAUCGAUCUAGGAUGGGUUCCAGGCCGGCAGCCUGGGAUAGCAAGGAUGGACGUCGUUCUUAUUUUUCUCGUUUGUUUUCGUCCGUAGUCGGACCCUGCUCUUACUCUUGAUGUUAUGUAAUGUACUGAUGUGACUCUGAUGUAGCUUGUGGCGAGUGUAAGCCAAUUCUAUAUAUAUCUCAUCUUUUCAGUACAUGUACUUGUAACGAUAUCCAUUCUUGCGACACGACGAGAUGCGCUUCUAUCCCUGACGAGGCCUUCGUGCCAAAUUGAGGAUAGGGUCACAUCUUGGGCGUGACAGUAUGGGAUCAAGGCAGUUUUCGAGGGUAGAGUAUUCAACCCAAAUUUGUUGAUUCGACACAAGGGGAAGCCAAAGAAUAUUCUCAAGUAUUAGCAGUUGAGUUGUCAAUUCAGCCACACCUGAAAGAUUAGUAUCUACAAGCGAAGUAUCAGUAGCAAGGUGGUACGAUAGCAACGGUAGCAAUGGUAACAGUAGCAGCAGCAGGUAACAGCAGUAACAACAGUAGCAAGUAAUAGCAGUAGCAAGUAACAUCAGUAGCAAGUGUGACAGCAGUAGUAACAGCAGUAGCAACAGAGUAACAAUAGCAGCAGUGACAGCAGUAGCAAUAAACUAACAUAGCAAGGACCAAUGGGACAAACUCGUAGGCAUUGGAUCGAUGAUUGUGCUCGAUGGCAUUCAUCAUGCAACAGUUAUAACACAGAGAGAUAUGUAAUUAGCUCCAGUUCGUCAAUGUAAUGUAGGCAUGUAUUCCGUAUGUAGUCAUACGUGCUUAGGGAAAAGAACUUGCAUGACAUUUAUUGUCCAUCCCUCCAGUGGGAGCAGGGUCCUAAUGGAAACUAUGGGAUAUUAAGGUUUCCUUUUAAUAAAGAACCGGACCAACGCAUUAACACUUGGUGAAUACAUGAACUCCUCAUACUAUGGUCGUCUCCGGAGUGGUUCCGGUUAUUGUCACUCCGGGAUUGCCGGGUCAUAACACGUAGUAGGUGACUACAACUUGCAAGAUCGGAUCUAAAACACACAUAUAUUGGCGACAACAUAAUAAUUUCAGAUCUGAAAUCAUGGCACUCGGGCCCUAGUGAGAAGCAUUAAGCAUGGCAAAGUAGUAGCAACAUCAAUCUCAGAACAUAGUGGAUACUAGGGAUCAAUCCCCAUCAAAACUAACUCGAUUACAUGAUAGAUCUCAUCCAACCCAUCACCGUCCAGCAAGCCUACAAAUAGAUUACUCAUGAACGGUGAAGAGCUUCAUGGAAUUGGCGAUGAAGGAAGGUUGAUGAUGACGAUGGCGACAAUCUCCCCUCUCUGGAGCCCAGAACGGACUCCAGAUCUGCCCUCCAAGGGAAGAACGGGAGGAUGGCGGCGCCUCCGUAUUGUAAAACGCGAUGAACUCUUCUCCUUGAUUUUUAUUUCCGGAUGGAGGGACUAAAUAGAGCUGGAAUUGGAGGCGGCGGAGCUCCAUGGGCCCCCAAGCCUGGUAGACGCGGCCAGGGGGCGCGCCUCCUGGGCUUGUGGGCUCCUGGCACACCUCCUCCGGUGGAUUCUUGCGCAGGUAUUUUUCAUAUAUUCCACAAAAAUUCCUCGUAAAUUUUUAGGUCAUUCCGAGAACUUUUAUUUCUGCACAAAAACAACACCAUGGCAAUUCUGCUGAAAACAACGUCAGUCCGGGUUAGUUCCAUUCAAAUCAUGCAAAUUAGAGUCCAAAACAAGGGCAAAAGAGUUUGGAAAAGUAGAUACGACGGAGACGUAUCAAUGUGUUUGACCGGUAUGCUCAAAAUGUCUCCGUAUGCCAAGUAUAUGAAGGAUAUUGUGACUAAUAAGAGGAGGAUACAUGAGGUUGAGAUUUCCACCAUGCUCGCUAAUUACACUUUUAAGGGUGGAACUCACUAGGUGAUCCCGGAGUGCCCACUAUACCUUGCUCCAUUAAAGGAAACUAUGUUAGAACUGCUUUAUGCGACCUUGGAGCCGGUGUUAGUGUUAUGCCUCUCUCUCUCUCUCUUUAUCGUAGGAUUGAACUGGAUAAGUUGACACCCACUAAAAUCUCUCUGGAAAUGGCCGACAAAUCAACUGCUUUCCCUAUCGGCAUUUGCGAGGAUGUGCCUGUUGUGGUUGCUAACGUUACUAUCCUAACGGACUUUGUUAUUCUGGAUAUUCCCGAGGAUGAUGCCAUGGCAGUCAUUCUUGGAAGACCCUUUUUAAAUACUGCAGGGGCUGUUAUAGAUUGCAACAAAGGCAAUGUCACUUUCCAUGUCAAUGGUAAUGAGCAUACGGUGCACUUUCCGAAGAAACAAUAUCGAGUACAUUGCAUCAAUGCUAUCGAAAAAACUUCAUCGAUUCUUAUUGGGAGCUUUGAAUGCCCUAUACCUACUAUUAAGAUGAAGUAUGAUUUGCUUAUUGGGGAUAUACACAUCCCCAUUGAGGUAACCUAGUGACUAUUCGAAAGUUCUCAGUUUCCUUUUGCGAUUCGAAAAAGUUUGUCAAGGAGACUUGAUCAACCUCAUUGACGGAUUUCUUCCGAUGACCAUGAGAUGGAUGAAUCAAGGAGUCACAAACCUCUGUUCCAAGCCUUCACUUUCGGUUGCUUAGAAGAAAAAUGAUAGAUUUAGUUUAGUUUUCCCUGUUGUCUGUUUUAGCGUCCCGGAGAAAAGUACCCCGAAAAUAAAAGUUCUCCAAUUGUCCUGAAAAUCAAAUAUGAUUUUUUCUGGAAUUUUUGAAAAAUACUGAGACGAAGAGCUAGUGAGGGGGCUGCACCAGUGGGCCACAAGCCCUGGAGGCGCGGCCACCCCUCUGGCCGCGCCUACCAAGCUUGUGGGGCCCAUGUGUACCCCCUCCACUCAUUCUAGCUCCCAUCUGCUUCUCCUACCUCCAGAAAAAAUCGUUUCGCAGCUCAAACCCAUGUUCUUGCUCCUUUGGCUGCACUUUUCGAUCUCCUUGCACAAAGCACCAUUCCCCGAACAGUUUUGGGGAAAUUGCUCCUUGGUAAGUGACUCCUCCAUUGGUCCAAUUAGUUUUUUCUCUAGUGCCUUAUACGUCGCGUAUUUUUGCUGCCUUGGUGACCCUGUUCUUGAGCUUUGCAUGCUAAUUUUAGCCGGUCCCAAGUAGUUUUGAUGCGUGAUACGGCCUCUAGGCACUUGAAGGAGUAGUUUCUACGAGUUUCGUUGGGCCUUGUUCACUUUUCCUUUCAGUCACUGAAAAUUUGAGAAAAGGAAGAUGUUCAGGAGAAACUAUCAUGGUGGUUCCUCAAGCAAGAGAGGUCCCCGUCUCGCGAUUCGAGAACCCGAUCCUUACCAACCAAGGGACGCACCAGUACAACCAUGUGAAUGGCCUUCCGAUGAAUUCAUGAUUGAAGCAGACUUCAAAGACGAGUUUGAUACACUUGUUCACAAUGCCGAGUUACAAGAAUUCAUCUCGGAUAAAUGUGAACAGUAUGCUAUGCUCACUGCCUCUUUUGUGCGUAGAUUCAAAUUUUCAGUUGGCCGUGACACAUCCAUACUGUUUGAUCUCUAUGACAAAUCGUAUACCAUGGAUUUAGAGGAUUUCAAUAGAAUCUGCAAGAUACCUGAUUGGGGUAGUCUCAAUGAUCCUCCUAAAUCUUCGAUUAGAGAUUUUAUCUCUAGUAUAACUGUUGGAGAAACUAGAGAUAUUACGCAUGCUACCAUGGGGAGUAUUCAUUUUCCUGCCUUGCAUUACUUUGCCCUCUUCAUAGGUAGAUGCAUUAACGACAAGAUUGAGCAUUGUCACCUCUGCGCACCCGACUUUAGUAUUCUUAAGAGCGCAGUAACGGGUGACAGAAGUUUCAACAUGGGAGCUGUAAUAGCAAGGAGGCUGAAUAAUAAUGCUAAUGAAGGGGAUUUCUUUGGUGGGCUCUAUGCCACUCGCAUAGCAAAUUUUCUUGGAGUACCCAUCCGCGAAGGAGAUCCCCCACUCCAUACACUUCCCUUGAUCGCGUCGCUUUGACACGCUAUUAGUUCCUUGAGAGGGAUGAUGAAUCCCUCCUAUACCGGUUAAUAUUUAACCGCGACGUGUUUUCCAUAUUACCCUUCCUGCUCCUGCCUUCUUUGAAUUUCAGGUAAAACGGAGAUAUUACAUAACCAGAGGAGUAUGAGAGGGAGGCAAAGGUUGCUCGUCUCCGUGAGGCAGCUAUUCAGGCAGUGGCUGCAGUGCUCCUGUACAACCCCCACUAUGAUUUUGGGUAUCGCCCGGACCAUCCAUGGGAGUAGACCGACUUAUGCCAAAAGCCUAAGCUUGGGGGAGUACGUGUUUCUCACCGACUUUAUAUUCUUGCUUACACUUUCACUUUGUUAGUCGGUGUUCACACUUUGCCACUGUAUCAUCCAUGCCAAUUUAUUUCUUUUUCUCGCUUUCUUCUCGUGUGUUUGUCUAGUUUAGGAAAACCCAAAAAGAUUUUUCCAUUGUUCUUUUGCUUGUUGGGAGCUUUACCGUGUAAAUAGUUUUGUUUUUCUUUGGGUCGAGGUAGAAGACCAUGAUUAUAAUGUUUAGUGGCUCUCUUAUGCAUUCUUGUUCAUGUGUUAAAGAGCCAUAUUACUUUGUCUUCUCCUUUGUGUUUGCUUGCAGAUUCCAGCUUAGUCCAAUGCACGAGCACUCUUAUUAUUGUUCACAUCAUUCGGUCGUGCAAGUGAAAGGCAAUAUUGACGAUAUAUGAUGACGUGGUUGAGCCAGGAAAAGCUGUUAUGAACUCGAUCUAUUUUGUUUUUGUAAAUAUGACUAGCUCAUCAUUCGAGAUUCAACUUUGUUGUGAGAGAAACAUGUUUGCAAUGACAACUUAGAGAUCAUAGUUUCUGAUGCCAUGCUUAAUUAGCUAGGAGCUUAUAAUGGUUUGUCUUGGAUGCCAACAUGAAUUUUGAGAUGACUAUGAUGUAGUAUGAUAGGAUGGUAUCCUCCUUUGAAUGAUUCAAGUGGCUUGACAUGGCACAUGUUCACGCAUGUAGUUGAAACAAAAUCAACAUAGCCUCUACGAUAUUCAUGUUCAUGGUGAUUUAUAUCCUACUCAUGCUUGCACUCAACAUUGGUUAAUUUCAAUGCAUAUUGAUGACUGCUCUUGCUCUCUAGUUGGUCGCUUCCUAGUCUUUUGCUAGCCUUCACUUGUACUAAGCGGGAAUAAUGCUUGUGCAUCCACUCCCAUAAACCCAAAGUUGUUCCAUAUGAGUCCACCAUACCUACCUAUAUGCGGUAUCUACCUACCGUUCCAAGUAAAUUUGCAUGUGCCACUCUCUAAACCUUCAAGAAAUAAUCUGUUUUGCAUGCCCGAACUGCUCAUGUGGUGAGAGGGGGCUAUCAGUAUCUUCCAUGCUAGGCGCGUUAUCCUCGAUAUGUGUUUAUUCACCAUCAUUCACGAGAAAGGAUCCUUGAUAUGUGUUUAUUCACUAUCAUUCAGGAGAAAGAGGUCGGUAAUUGGAAUGCCCAGUUCCACGCUCAAAUCGAAAAGAUAAUUGAAACAAAACUCCCCCUGGAUUGAUGUUGGUAUGGACGGCACCCGAGUAUUCGGCUAGUCGUGGAGUGUGAUUGAUUGGUGGUGGGGGAGUCAAAACUUUACUUUUCUGUUUGGGAACCGCCUAUAGCAUGUGUAGCGUGGAAGAUGGUGAAAACUCUUGGUCAUUGCAUUGACAAUGAAAGCAUGCCACCCAAAAUUAUUAUCUCUGUUUUCAAAGCUUGAGCUCUGGCACCUCCGCAAAUUAAUGUUUCCCUCUGCGAAGGGCCUGUCUAUUUAUGUUCCUGUUGAGUCAUCCUCUCCUUAUAAAAGCACCAAUUAGAGAGCACCUCUAUCAUUCGUAUGCUUUGCUUUUGACUGAUAUUGAGUAUGACUGUGACUGGAUCUUCUUUUCCAUGAGUUACAAUGUUUAGUCAGCCCUUGGUCUUUGAAGGUGCUCUGCAUUUAUGUUUUGCGGUCUCAGAAAGAGCUAGCGAGAUACUAUCUGUUUGUACUCUUUCAUGAUUGUUUUGAUUGAAGUGUUGACGUUUGAAACUUAUUAUUAUUGCUCGCUAGUUGAUUAUGCCAUUGAUAUGAGUUUACCGUGAGACCUAGAUGUCAUUUGCUUAUGUGGUUAGCUUGUGAUCUUGCUGAAAUUCUGGUUAUGAGUUAGACAUAGUUGCAACAACAAGAUCAAACGGAGUUUGUAAAAGUUUUUCUUUUGUCUCUUUCAGUUUGUCAACUGAAUUGCUUGAGGACAAGCAAGGCUUUAAGCUUGGGGGAGUUGAUACGUCUUUGUCGUAUCUACUUUUCCAAACUCUUUUGCCCUUGUUUUGGACUCUAAUAUGCAUGAUUUGAAUGGAACUAACCCAGACUAACGUUGUUUUCAGCAGAAAUGCCAUGGUGUUGUUUUUGCGCAGAAAUAAAAGUUCUCGGAAUGACCUGGAAAUUUACGGGGAUUUUUUGUGGAAUAUGUAAGAAAUACUGGCGCAAGAAUCAACCGGAGGGGUGGAGCUGAGAGCCCACAAGCCCACAAGGCGCCCCCCUGGCCGUGCCUGGCAGGCUUGUGGGGCCCACGGAGCUCCGCCGCCUCCAACUCCAGCUCUAUUUAACCUCUUUCGUCCGGAAAAAAAUCAAGGAGAAGAGUUCAUCGCGUUUUACGAUACGGAGGCGCCGCCACCUCCCGUUCUUCCUCUGGAGGGCAGAUCUGGAGUCCGUUUUGGGCUCCGGAGAGGGGAGAUCGUCGCCAUCGUCAUCACCAACCUUCCUUCAUCACCAAUUCCAUGAUGCUCUUCACCGUUCGUGAGUAAUCUAUUCGUGGGCUUGUUGGAUGGUGAUGGGUUGGAUGAGAUCUAUCAUGUAAUCGAGUUAGUUUUGACGGGGAUUGAUCCGUAGUAUCCACUAUGUUCUAAGAUUGAUGUUGCUACAACUUUGCCAUGCUUAAUGCUUGUCACUAGGGCCCGAGUGCCAUGAUUUCAGAUCUGAACCUAUUAUGUUGUCGCCAAUAUAUGUGUGUUUUAGAUCCUAUCUUGCAAGUUGUAGUCACCUACUAUGUGUCAUGACCCGGCAACCCCGGAGUGACAAUAACCGGAACCACUCCCGGAGAUGACCAUUGAUGGGGUUAUAGUCCCUGGGUAGGGUCAUAGGCCUGCCCUAUAGGUCCUACCCAAGGACUACCCUUCAUAAGGGACAAGGCCCUUAGACAGUUCCGACUGAACUAAGGACUUUCCAUCAUCUAGUCGGUGACGAUUCCCCCAUCAUCCAGUCGGUGACGAGCAUUCGGAGCGUAUUAAACGUACCGACUGGAUUCCACUCUGUAUAUCGUAACCUCCGUGGAGGGCAACGGUCAUACGUUUUCAUACACCAUUAUUAGCAUUUAAGGCAUACGUUACCUGUAACAUAGGCAUUUAUUCGCCACUACUCCACCCCUGUCCACCGGACCGUUGUGAAGGGCAGCGCACUCUAUAUAAGCCGCCCUUCCCCACUGGUGCAGGGGUUGGCAUUUACUGUAACCACAUAUUCCACUCGACACUAAGCUCCCAAGAGCACUGAGACGUAGGGCUUUUACCUCCACCGUAGAGGGGCCUGAACUCAUACAUCCUCGCCGUAGCUAAGGCUCUGCCCAUCCUUUCGUACCCUACACAUCUACUAUCAGACUUAUACCCACGACAGUUGGCGCCCACCAUGGGGCAGGCGUCUAAGCGACUUUCGGCGAGUUUGCGACUUCAUCUUUUCAUCAUGUCGUCCGGUGGAGAUUUGUGCAUGGGUCAUGAGAUCCUCUUCGGCGCACUCUCCUUCAUCGUCGACGACUCGGCAUGGCAUCGGGACGCGCCUCUCAACGUUGAAGCGCUCCCCAGUCGCGGGGCUACACACUUUCGUGCCGGUGCCCGCGGCGUCCUUCUUCUCCAGCAAUCGGCUCCGGUGUCGAUCUUCGCCCCCGUCACGCACCGCAACAAGCGGUCCCGCCGUCCGCGGCUCCAGCGUUGGGUGCGACACGCCUAGGUGCGCCAGAACGUGUCCUCUCAAGUGGCGGUCCUCGAGUCGGUUGUGGUCGCGCCGCCGUCCCAGUGCUUGGACUCAGUUCCGACUGAGUUGCCUUCCGAGUACUUGGGUCGCGGGCCUACAGCCGAAGUUCUCAUGGCCAAUUCCCAUGAAAGUCCCCGCCAGACUGGUCGGAACGAGCACGAGGUCGGCGAGUCAUUCGGCGCUCGCCGUCAGCCCCGCCGUUCUGCCAUUCGACGCACUCGUCAGAGCAACGUGGAGGUGUUCCGCACACCCGUCCUCAACCUGGCUGCCGCCGCCAAGAUAGCCGAUUCCCUCCAACCGAUUGAUUCAGAGGCUGGUAGAGGGAUCGAGCAGAUCGUGCCCUGUUGCACACGGUGCAGCACCAGAAUUCGGCGGUCUCCCAGUCGCACAACAGGAUCCACAACAGUUCUGUUGACGCGAACACGCAUCGGUCGGUUUUCAGCCCCGAUUCUCAUCAGCGACGCAGAGGAGGCAGUCGUUCCAUGAAUCCCGAAGAUCGUCGCCGUUCACGCACCCCUCCUCGGGGUGGACCUUACGGGCCCUGACAUCAUGAUGAUCGGCGUUCAGUCGGUGACACAUAUGAUCCAAGGCCCGACGCAAGAGGGUACAUCGCCCAGAGGAAGGUCGAUAGGAGUCGAGCCCACCGUGAUGGUCACGAAAGAGACCGUCUGAGUGGAAGCAGGACCAUUGUCUCUGGCCCCGAGUGCUUCAGUCGGGCCAUCCGUUCAGCUGACAUCCCUCCCAACUUCCGAUUGGCGACGGGGAUCAGCAAGUUUACAAGAGAAUCCAAGCCAGAAACGUGGCUGGACGACUACCGAGUGGCGGUCCAGAUCGGUGGCGGAGAUGACCAGGUCGCCAUGAAACAUCUCCCCCUGAUGCUCGACGGCUCGGCACGAGCGUGGCUGAACCAGUUGGCUCCUUCAAGCAUCUACAGCUGGGCAGAUCUGGCCCGAGUCUUCAUCAGGACCUUCGAGGGCACGUGCAAAUGCCUUGCUGGUGUCGUGGAGCUCCAGCACUGUGUCCAGAAGCAGAAUGAGCCCCUGCGCGAUUUCAUCCAGCAUUGGACGACCCUCUACCACACGGUGGAGAACGUCACAGAGCACCAAGCAGUCUGCGCCUUCAAGGCAGGCGUGCGGUACAGAGCUUUGUACCUGAAGUUCGGUCGGACAGGCGACAUCUCCAUGAGCAAGAUGAUGGAGAUAGCCGCACGCUAUGCAAAUGGCGAAGAAGAGGACCGCAUACGUAGCGGCAAGCAUAAAGCAGUCGCCGAUGGAGAUGGGAACAGCACUCGGAAGCAGAAGCAGAAAGCUCCGUCCACUCCGCAGGCAGAGGCAGCAGCCGUUACUAAUGCCAAGUUCAAGGGCAAGGGGAAGGCUCAGUUCACCCCAAGAAGAAGCAGUUCGGAAACUCCAUCCUGGAUCAGACAUGUCCAAUCCACACGAAGAUGGACGAAGAAGUCAAAGCGUACAAGGUUCAGCGGCCAGUAUAUUAUGUCUCCGAAGUCCUGACUCCUUCCAAGCAGAGGUAUCCCCAUUAUCAAAAGCUUAUUUACGGGAUCUACAUGACUGCGAAGAAGGUGGCUCAUUAUUUCCAAGACCACUCGGUGUAUGUCAUUUCUGAUGCUCCUUUGUCGGAAAUCCUCCACAAUCGGGACGCAUCAGGCUGAGUGGCGAAGUGGGCAAUGGAGAUGUUAUACUGCGACAUCAAGUUCGAAGCCAAGAAGGCUAUAAAGUCUCAAGCUCUGGUUGACUUCAUAGCAGAAUGGGUAGAACAACAGCAACCGACUCACAUCUACUCGGCUCAUUGGACAAUGUUCUUCGAUGGGUCCAAGAUGUUGAAUGGCUCCGGCGCUGGGGUAGUGAUCAUAUCGCCAAAAGGUGAUAAACUCAAGUAUGUGUUGCAGAUACAUUUUGAUUCCUCCAACAACGAGGCAGAGUAUGAAGCUCUCCUUUAUGGAUUGCGCAUGGCCAUCACACUCGGCGUCCGUCGCCUAAUGGUUUAUGGCGAUUCAGAUUUGGUGGUUAAUCAAGUGAUGAAGGAGUGGGAUGUAAGGAACCCCACCAUGACUACGUACUGCAACGCAGUGAGGAAGCUCGAGAAGAAGUUUGAAGGUCUGGAACUUCACCAUGUUCCGCGACUGAAAAACCAAGCAGCUGAUGAAUUGGCGAAACUUGGAUCCACUCGGAGACCAGUCCCGAGUGAUGUCUGCCUCGAGCACCUACACCUUCCCUCAGUAAAAGAAGAUCCUUUCACAGAGGAACCAGUACAACCAAAGAGCUCAACAGAUCCGACUGAAGUCGAGGUCCCUGCUGUGGUUGAUUUGAUCAUGGAGAUUCUUGCUCUCAUCCCCGAUUGGACUGUGUCGUUCAUUGCGUACAUCCUGAGGCAAGAAUUACCAGAAGACGAAGUCCAGGCUAGGCAGAUCGUCCGCAGGUCGAAGUCGUUCACCGUCAUUGAUGGCCAGUUGUACAAAGAAAGUGUUUCAGGCGUCCUUCAGCGUUGCAUCUCCCCUGAGGAGGGACAGUUAAUCCUGGAAGAAAUUCACUCGGGAACCUGCGGCCAUCAUGCCUCUUCAAGAGCAAUCAUCGCCAAAGCAUUCAGAGCUGGCUUCUUCUGGUUGCAGGUGAAUGAAAUGGCGAAGGAUAUGGUCGACCGAUGCAAAGGCUAUCAGUUCCAUUCGAACAAGUCCCACAAGCCAACAUCUGCGCUAAAGACAAUCCCUCUUGUUUGGCCGUUUGCAGUGUGGGGAUUAGAUACAGUCGGUCCAUUCAGAACAGGCCAAGGGGGGUUCACACAUCUGUUGGUGGCAGUCGACAAGUUCACCAAGUGGAUUGAAGCCAAGCCCAUCAAGAAGCUCGACGCCCUUACGGCCAUCAAGUUUGUCAGAGACAUCAUCUCCAGAUUCGGGGUACCGCACAGCAUAAUCACUGACAAUGGCACAAAUUUUGACUCGGACAGAUUCAAAGGUUUUUGCACAGGCCAAGGGAUCCGGGUGAAUUUUGCAUCUGUGGCGCGUCCCCAAACAAACGGGCAAGUAGAGCGGGCGAAUGGACUUAUUCUUCAAGGGUUGAAACCUCGACUCCUGCGAGAAGUUGGACAUGCUGCCGGCGCAUGGGUCACCGAGCUGCCUUCGGUGUUGUGGGGCCUCCGCACAACUCCAAAUAGAUCUACAGGGCAAUCCCCGUUCUUCCUCAUUUACGGAGCAGAGGCAGUCCUUCUGAGUGACUUGCUUCACAACUCUCCACGAGUCAAACUCUUCUCCGAAGCCGAAGCAGAGCAAGCCAGGCAAGACGGAGUGGAUCUUCUAGAAGAAGAGCCCGAGAUGGCACUGACUCGCUCAACAAUUUAUCAACAAGACCUGCGGCGUUUCCACGCGCGGCACGUCAGGAGUCGUACAUUCCAACCAGGCGACCUCGUGCUCUGAGUAGAUCAGCAGAGACCUCACAAGUUGGCUCCCGCCUGGGAAGGACCCUUCAUCAUCUCCAUGGUGCUGAACAACGGAGCAUAUCGAUUCUACAACCUCGACAGGGAAAUGGACGAGCCGCGAGCAUGGAACGGAGAUCUCCUGAAGCGCUUCUACACAUGACCGCCGACGGAGGCAAUGUAAAGAACAAGUAUCAUUGAAGUAAUACAAACAGAUUGAUUUCUUGCAAGUUCAAAAUUCUUCCGCGUUGGCAGACUCCGGUCUAAAAAAUAAAAAAUUCGCUCCGAGUGCGCACUAAAAGUCGCACUCGGGGGCUUAGCUGCGACCCAGAGUCGCCUAAGUACAAACUCUCUCCGAGUGUGCACUAAAAGUCGCACUCGGGGACUUAGCUGCGACCCAGAGUCGCCUAAGUACAAACUCUCUCCGAGUGUGCACUAAAAGUCGCAUUCGGAGACUUAGCUGCGAUCCAGAAUCGCCUAAGUAAAAAGCUUCCUUCGAGUGUAUCCUAGAGAUCCACUCGGAGGCUUAGCAGAUCCUCAUUGAAGCUCAUGUGGAUGUGAAGACAACUGACAACUACAUGAGUAGCAACUCGCUCCGAGUACGACCUUACAGUCGCGCUCGAGGACUUAGCUGCGAUCCAGAAUCGCCUAAGUAAAAAGCUUCCUUCGAGCGUAUCCUAGAGAUCCACUCGGAGGCUAAGCAGACCCUCAUUGAGGCUCAUGUGGAUGUGAAGACAACUGACAACUACAUGAGUAACAACUCGCUCCGAGUGUGUACUAAAAGUCGCACUCGGAGACUUAGCCGCGACGAAGAGUCGCCUAAGUAAAAGCUCGCUCCGAGUGCGCACUCGGAGACUUCACAGACCCUCAUUGAGGCUCAUGUGGAUGUGAAGACAAGUUACAACUACAUGCUCCGCUUGUUUGCCAUUGGCUUCACCAAGAAACGCCAAACAAAAACCACGAGCCAAAAUCGUGUCAAAAAAAAAGUUUUGGCGAAUGAAGAGCAAAAUGUUUGUUUCGAAUUCAAAGUUGGAUCUACGAUAGUCGGCUCGGUGUGGAUCAAGCUUAUCCACACCGAACCACGAAUGUGAUGGCCAACAGCAGUGGCCAAAGUUUGAUACAGAUACCACUCGGCAUACCGAGGUAAAGUUUUUCAAGCGUCGUCAGGAGUGGCACCGGGACUGGCAGGCUCCACAAAAGUGUCAAGGUCGAUCCCGUCUGCGAUGCGAGUGGCGGUCUCAAGGAAGGUCUCCAUGAAAUCUUCGAAUCGAAGCUUCUUGGUGUUGGCGACCUGCAACGCCUUCAGCUUUUCUUCGCGAGCUUCCUUGCAGUGCACUCGGACCAGCGAUAGUGCCACGUCCGCACCACAACGAGCGGCGGACUUCUUCCAUGCCUGCACUCUGUUUGGGAUGUCCUCCAGCCGAGUCAUCAACCCUUGUAUUUCCCGCCAGGAAUCGUCUUUGGGCCACAACUCCUUGUCGAUCCGGGUGAUGACUUCUCUCAUGCGGCCAAUGAAAGGUCCCAUUCUGCCAAGGCGAAUAUGCGCUCGGAGCAAGUCCCGAUUAGCUUCGUCGCCGAGUGGAACGUUCAGAAUAACCGACCGCUCAAUGUCAGCUGCUUCAGCCUCAGCGUCCAUGCAAAAAUCUGCAAAGAAAGACGAGCGGAAAGUAAGCGCAGAAUGAACUACAAAGUCAGGAAGCACUCGGCAAAAAGCUUACCACCGAGCAGCGCAAUCAUCUUCCUUGCCCAAUCGCUGACGUACUUCUCCUGCGAUAUGCACCGACUGUUCAUCAACUUCAUCUGACCCAUCAGUUUAGUUCUUUGUUUGCCCAUUUUCUCAAUUUCGACCACCAAUGCCUUGUUCGCCUCCCGGGACUCCUCCAAAGACUUCUCUCGGUCAGCAAGAUCCCCCUUCACACCAGCUAAGUCAUUCACAGCCGCCUCCAAUUCCGCAGCAAGCUGAAUCUUUUCAGCCUUCAGAGCAUUGUACGCUGAUCCCAUUUCGCAAGUCUUCUGCAAAUCAGCGCGAAGAGAAGAUCAGACACAUUCAACAAGGAAAACAAUAAAUACUCAAAGUUCUUCAGACCCCUGCCGACGCAAGCAGUCGACAGCGGUCUCGGGGACUACACCCAGUGGGUUCACUAAGAGUGACCCCACUGGCAUGAAGCUCGAACUGGUCCGUGUUGGAGAACGUCGCAUGGGAAACAAAAAUUUUCCUACGCGCACGANNNNNNNNNNNNNNNNNNNNNNNNNNNNNNNNNNNNNNNNNNNNNNNNNNNNNNNNNNNNNNNNNNNNNNNNNNNNNNNNNNNNNNNNNNNNNNNNNNNNUGGCUUAGAGCCGGGACUUCAACGUCGCUUUGAGCGUCAUGGAGCAUUUGAGAUGUUCCAGGAGUUGAAGUUUAUCUUUCAGAAGAACGCCCGGAUCGAGAGGUAUGAGACCUCCGAUAAAUUCUAUGCUUGCAAGAUGGAGGAAAGCUCGUCUGUCAGUGAACAUGUGCUCAAGAUGUCUGGGUACUCAAACCGUCUAGCUGAACUAGGGAUUGAACUCCCGCAAGAAUCUAUCACUGACAGAAUCCUCCAAUCACUGCCGCCAAGCUAUAAAGGCUUUGUGUUGAACUACAACAUGCAAGGGAUGAACAAGUCUCCCGGCGAGUUGUUUGCGAUGCUGAAAGUCGCAGAGUCUGAACUCCGUAAAGAGCAUCAAGUGUUGAUGGUGAGCAAGACCACUAGUUUCAAGAAAAACGGCAAAGGCAAGAAGGGCAAUUCAAAGAAGAGCGGCAAGCUUGUUGCCAAUCCGCCGAAGAAACCCAAGGCUGGACCUAAGCCUGAAACAGAGUGCUUCUAUUGCAAGGGUAUGGGUCACUGGAAGCGCACUUGCCCCAAGUAUCUGGCAGAUAAGAAGGCGGGCAAAGAAAAAUCAGGUAUAUUUGAUAUACAUGUUAUUGAUGUGUACUUAACCAGCUCUCGUAGUAGUGCCUGGGUAUUCGAUACCGGUUCUGUUGCUCACAUUUGCAACUCGAAACAGGAACUGCGGAAUAGACGGAGGCUGGCGAAAGACGAAGUGACGAUGCGCGUAGGAAACGGUUCCAAGGUUGAUGCAAUCGCCGUUGGCACCGUGUCACUUCAACUACCAUCGGGAUUAGUGAUGAACUUAAAUCAUUGUUAUUUAGUGCCUGCGUUGAGCAUGAACAUUAUAUCUGGAUCUUGUUUAUUGCGAGACGGUUACUCUUUUAAGUCUGAGAAUAAUGGUUGUUCUAUUUCUAUGAGUAACAUCUUUUAUGGUCAUGCACUGAAUGUGAGAGGAUUGUUCAUAUUGAAUCUUGAUAGAGAUACGCAUAUACAUAACAUUGAGACCAAAAGAGUUAGAGUAAACAAUGAUAGCACCAUAUUUUUGUGGCACUGCCGCUUGGGUCAUAUUGGUGUAAAGCGCNNNNNNNNNNNNNNNNNNNNNNNNNNNNNNNNNNNNNNNNNNNNNNNNNNNNNNNNNNNNNNNNNNNNNNNNNNNNNNNNNNNNNNNNNNNNNNNNNNNNACUCCGUUUCAGGCUUAGGUCCAGCCUUGGGUUUCUUCGGUGGAUUGGCAACAGGCUUGCCGCUCUUCUUCGAAUUGCCCUUCUUGCUUUUGCCGUUUCUCUUGAAACUAGUGGUCUUAUUCACCAUCAACACUUGAUGCUCUUUACGGAGUUCAGACUCUGCGACUUUCAACAUCGCAAACAACUCGCCGGGAGACUUGUUCAUCCCUUGCAUGUUGUAGUUCAACACAAAGCCUUUGUAGCUUGGCGGCAGUGAUUGAAGGAUUCUGUCAGUGAUAGCUUCUUGCGGGAGUUCAAUUCCCAGCUCAGCUAGACGGUUUGAGUACCCAGACAUUUUGAGCACAUGUUCACUGACAGACGAGUUUUCCUCCAUCUUGCAAGCAUAGAAUUUAUCGGAGGUCUCAUACCUCUCGAUCCGGGCGUUCUUCUGAAAGAUAAACUCCAACUCCUUGAACAUCUCAAAUGCUCCAUGACGCUCAAAGCAACGUUGAAUUCCCGGUUCUAAGCCAUACAAGACUGCACAUUGAACUAUUGAGUAGUCCUCCUUNNNNNNNNNNNNNNNNNNNNNNNNNNNNNNNNNNNNNNNNNNNNNNNNNNNNNNNNNNNNNNNNNNNNNNNNNNNNNNNNNNNNNNNNNNNNNNNNNNNNAAUCGGAUAGAUCUCCAUGAAGAGCAUGGAGAACUUUGUAUUGAAGAUCAAGAGAGAGAAGAAGCCAUCUAGCUAAUAAAUACGGACUCGUAGGUCUGAAGUGAACUACUCACGAGUCAUUGGAGGAGCGAUAUGAAGAAGCCUCCAACUCCAAAGUCCCCUCCGGCAGGGUGCCGGGAAGGGUCUCCAGAUGAGAUCUCGCGGAAACGGAAGCUUGCGUCGACAGAAAAGUAUUUUCGAGGCUCCCCUGAUUUUUUUUCUGAUUUUUAGGGAAUAUAUAGGCGCGAGAUAUAGGUCAGGGGGGGCCAGGGAGGCCACAAGCCCUGCCACUGCCGCCUCCCCCUGGUGGCGGAGUGGGAGCUUGUUGGCUCCGUGCAGCCCUCCUGGCUUGGCCCAAACGCCCCCUGAUCUUCUUCCGUUCGGGAAAAAUCAUUUCGGGGAUUUUAUNNNNNNNNNNCCAAAAACACAGAAAAAACAGGAUCUGGCACUUGGCACUGAAUUAAUAAGUUAGUCCCAAAAAAGAUAUAAAAGGUACAUAAAACAUCCAAAGAUGACAAGAUAACAGCAUGAAACCAUCAAAAAUUAUAGAUACGUUUGAGACGUAUCAUGCGGCAACUGUUAACAUGAUUCGGACGGACUUCGGCAUCGCUACGGGUGAUAAAGUCUCAUCGUAGUCAAUUCCUUGAACUUGUCAAUAACCCUUAGCGACAAGUCGAGCCUUAUAGAUGGUCACAAUACCAUCCGCGUUUGUCUUCUUCUUAAAGAUCCAUUUAUUUUCUAUGGCUUGUCGAUCAUCACGCAAGUCCACCAAAGUCCAUACUUUGUUCUCAUACAUGGAUCCUAUCUCGGAUUUCAUGGCUUCAAGCCAUUUGUUGGAAUCCAGGCCCGCCAUCACUUCUUCAUAGUUCGAAGGUUCACUGUUGUCCAACAACAUGAUCUCCAUGACACGGUUGUCGUACCACACUGGUGCGUAAUGUGUCCUUGUGGACCUUCGAGGUUCAGUAGCAACUUGAUCCAAAAAUUCAUGAUGAUCAUCAUUAACUUCCUCUCUAGUUGGUUGAUGUCUACUACGCAACCUUCUCCUUGUAUACGUUGUUGGGCCUCCAACUGCAGAGGUUUGUAGGACAGUAGCAAUUUUCCAUCAAGUGGGUGACCUAAGGUUUAUCAAUCUGCGGGAGGCGUAGGAUGAAGAUGGUCUCUCUCAAGCAACCCUGCAAGCAAAAACAAAGAGUCUCUUGUGUCCCCAACACACCCAAUACAAUGGUAACUUUUAUAGGUGCGCUAGUUCGGCGAAGAGAUGGUUAUACAAGUGCAACAUGGAUGGUAGACAUAGGUUUUUGUAAUCUGAAAUUAAAAAAACAGCAAGGUAAAUAAUAAUAAAAGUGAGCAUGAACGGUAUUGCAAUGCGUGGAAACAAGGCCUAGGGUUCAUACUUUCACUAGUGAAGUUCUCUCAACAAUGAUAACAUAAUUGGAUCAUAUAACUAGCCCUCAACAUGCAACAAAGAGUCACUCCAAAGUCACUAAUANNNNNNNNNNGAAGAAAUUAUUGUCGGGUAUGAAACCACCACAAAGUUAUUCUUUCUGAUCGAUCUAUUCAAGAGUCCGUAGUAAAAUAACACGAAGCUAUUCUUUUCGUUCAAUCUAUCCUAGAGUUCGUACUAGAAUAACACCUUAAGACACACAUCAACCAAGACCAUAAUGUCACCUAGAUACUCCAUUGUCACCUCAAGUAUCCGUGGGCAUGAUUAUACGAUAUGCAUCACACAAUCUCACAAUCAUCUAUUCAACCAACACAUAGAACUUCAAAGAGUGCCCCAAAGUUUCUACCGGAGAGUCAAAACGUGUGACAGCCCCUAUGCAUAGGUUCCCGAUGUCACGAAACCCGCAAGUUGAUCACCAAAACAUACAUCAAGUACUCACAUGAAUAUCCCAUUAUCACCACAGAUAGACACGUGCAAGACAUACAUCAAGUGUUCUUAAAGACUCAAUCCGAUAAGAUAACUUCAAAGGGGAAACUCAAUUCAUNNNNNNNNNNNNNNNNNNNNNNNNNNNNNNNNNNNNNNNNNNNNNNNNNNNNNNNNNNNNNNNNNNNNNNNNNNNNNNNNNNNNNNNNNNNNNNNNNNNNGUUCACUUCAGACCUACGGGUCCGUAGUUAGUAGCUAGAUGGCUUCUUCUCUCUCUUGGAUCUUCAAUACAAAGUUCUCCAUGAUCUUCAUGGAGAUCUAUCCGAUGUAAUCCUCUUUGGCGGUGUGUUUGUCGAUAUCCGAUGAAUUGUGGAUUUGUGAUCAGAUUAUCUAUGAAUUAUAUUUGAGUCUUUGCUGAUUUCUUAUAUGCAUGAUUUUAUAUCCUUGUAAGUCUCUCCGAGUCUUGGGUUUUGUUUGGCCAACUAGAUCUAUGAUUCUUGCAAUGGGAGAAGUGCUUGGUUUUGGGCUCAUACUGUGUGGUGACCUUUCCCAGUGAUAGAAGGGCCAGCAAGGCACGCAUCGUGUUCUUGCCAUCAAGGGUAACAAGAUGGGCUUUUAUUGUAGAUAUGAGAUUGUCCAUCUACAUCAUGUCAUCUUGCUUAAGGCGUUACUCUGUUCUUUUGGACUUAAUACACUAGAUGCAUGUUGGAUAGCGGUCGAUGUGUGGAGUAAUAGUAGUAGAUGCAGAAAGUAUCGGUCUACUUGUUUUGGACGUGAUGCCUAUAGAUAUAAUCAUUGCCUUAGAUAACNNNNNNNNNNNNNNNNNNNNNNNNNNNNNNNNNNNNNNNNNNNNNNNNNNNNNNNNNNNNNNNNNNNNNNNNNNNNNNNNNNNNNNNNNNNNNNNNNNNNAGUAAAUGCAGGAGAUGAGUUUGUGAGACCUACUUGGAUAGAUCUCUCCUUCCCCGGCAACAGCGCCAGAAAUACUUCUGCUACUACAACAAAAGACCUUCCAACGGCGCCAGAAACACGUGCUGACGGGAGACUGUUCUUGUCUUGAUUCUCCUCAGCAACGACACCAGGAAUCCUUCUGCUACGGCUACGCCUUUAGGGACUUCCUAGGCAAAUAUGCAAAGGAUUUCCCCGUGGCCUUGGAGCCUUGCGUUGUUGUUCCCUCAAAGCGGAAAGGGUGAUGUAGCGCAGCGGUGGUAAGUAUUUCCCUCAGUUUUGAGAACCAAGGUAUCGAUCCAGUGAAGGAGUAUCACAAGUGCCUGCACAAACACAAAGAACCUGCUCCCAACUCUAUGAAGGGGUUGUCAAUCCCUUAUAGAUUGUUUGCCAAGUGAGAACUGAAAGCAACAAAGUAACAAAGCAAAGUAAAAGCGGAGGUGUAAACGAUAGGUGUGAAUAGACCCGAGGGCCGUAGUGUUUACUAGUGGCUUCUCUCAUGAAAGCAAGUAGACGANNNNNNNNNNCCUCCCAACGCUAUGAAGGGGUUGUCAAUCCCUUAUAGAUUGUUCGCCAAGUGAAAACUUAAAGCAACAAAGUAACAAAGCAAAGAAAAAGCGGAGGUGUAAACGAUAGGUGUAAAUAGACCCGGGGGCCGUAGUGUUUACUAGUGGCUUCUCUCAUGAAAGCAAGUAGACGAUGGGUGAACAAAUUACUGUCGAGCAAUUGAUAGAACCACGCAAAGUCAUGACAAUAUCUAUGGCAAUGAUUAUAUCUAUAGGCAUCACGUCCAAAACAAGUAGACCGAUNNNNNNNNNNGUGACGAUAUCUAUGGCAAUGAUUAAAUCUAUAGCCAUCACGUCCAAAACAAGUAGACUGAUACUUUCUGCAUCUACUACUAUUACUCCACACGUCAACCGCUAUCCAGCAUGCAUCUAGUGUAUUAAGUCCAAAAGAACAGAGUNNNNNNNNNNNNNNNNNNNNNNNNNNNNNNNNNNNNNNNNNNNNNNNNNNNNNNNNNNNNNNNNNNNNNNNNNNNNNNNNNNNNNNNNNNNNNNNNNNNNUGCAGACCCUGCGGGUUCGAGAACUAUGUAGACAUGACCCGAGAGACUCCUCGGUCAAUAUACAAUAGCGGGACCUGGAUGCCCAUAUUGGAUCCUACAUAUUCUACUAAGAUCUUAUCGUUUGAACCUCAGUGCCAAGGAUUCAUAUAAUCCCGUAUGUCAUUUCCUUUGUCCUUCGGUAUGUUACUUGCCCGAGAUUCGAUCGUCAGUAUCCGCAUACCUAUUUCAAUCUCGUUUACCGACAAGUCUCUUUACUCGUUACGUAAUACAAGAUCCCGCAACUUACACUAAGUUACAUUGCUUGCAAGGCUUGUGUGUGAUGUUGUAUUACCGAGUGGGCCCCGAGAUACCUCUCCGUCACACGGAGUGACAAAUCCCAGUCUUGAUCCAUACUAACUCAACUAACACCUUCGGAGAUACCUGUAGAGCAUCUUUAUAGUCACCCAGUUACGUUGCGACGUUUGAUACACACAAAGUAUUCCUCCGGUGUCAGUGAGUUAUAUGAUCUCAUGGUCAUAGGAAUAAAUACUUGACACGCAGAAAACAGUAGCAACAAAAUGACACGAUCAACAUGCUACGUCUAUUAGUUUGGGUCUAGUCCAUCAUGUGAUUAUCCCAAUGGCGUGAUCCAGUUAUCAAGCAACAACACCUUGUUCAUAAUCAGAAGACCCUGACUAUCAUUGACCAACUGGCUAGCCAACUAGAGGCAUGCUAGGGACGGUGUUUUGUCUAUGUAUCCACACAUGUAAAUGAGUCUUCAUUCAAUACAAUUAUAGCAUGGAUAAUAAACUAUUGUAUUGAUACAGGAAUUAUAAUAAUAACCAUAUUUAUUA
rnacentral:lncRNA from 1 species